rnacentral:sRNA from 1 species
UCAUCAUUUUGAGGUACCCUUCCUACCAGAGCCUAAUUCUCACACCAACCAAAAGCCAUCCAUAUGUCAGACGUUAACCUUUCUCCAAUAGAAAAAGUCAGGCUACUGCCAUGGUCACAGUAUCCUUCCUUGGGAAAUAGUUUAGAAGAAUAAACAACCAAAAAAGAGCAAUCAUCAGCUAGCUCCAUGCCCCCCCCCCGUCAGUGAACACUCUAGGAUUAUCUCCCAAAGAAUAACCAGAGGUUGUUUCAAGAGAGGAAGAGCUAAACAUGAAGACCCUGGGCUCAAGGUGAUGGAGAUCUCAAAAGAGAUCAUAGUGGAGCCGGUAGAGACAAGAAAACUCCAGAGAAGUCUAUAGCAGACCCUACUCCAAGGCCAGGCGGCUAGACAUACCAUCAACCAAAGAAGUUGCAUGUCCCAAAGCAGAAGAGAUGAACCUCAAAACCUAACCAUGAGCUGAAGAUGUCAAGAGAGAUACCAGCUCUUCUCCAAGAAAGAAGGAUGUGUGGGUCUCUAUCAACCUUGGGCAACAACCCACACGGUCCCAGGAUACAGAUGGCAGGCAAAGCUCAAACUCACAGGGCUCUCUGACUCCAGUACCAAGUAUCUGGUCUCUUUCCAAGAAAGCUUCAAGCAGAUAUUAUGGGGAGGAGGAGGAGACACGCUAGCUGAGCAUGGAAGAGAGAGACCAGGGGGGAGGUAAAAGAGCAAGAAAGCCUUGUUACACAUUUAGAGAAGUUCAGGGUUGGGAGGGUCCAACCAUGCUCUAGGGAUAUAGCUUGGCAUACCCCAAGUCAGGCAGGGAAAACUGCCCACAGUCCAUCUGUAUUUCUGGUUUCCUUAUUUCUGAAUAAAGACACUGACUAAGUCCCUGGAGACCCGGGCAAUAUUCCCCUUGGCCAUCAUGCUCUUCUUGGGCAGCAGGCUGAAUGUCAAAACGAGGGAUGAUAGAUCUUUUUUAAAAAAAAAAAUCUUGGUGUGUUCUGCUUGGCACCUCUCCAGGGCUUUGGCAAGAGAGGCCAAGGCAAAACGUGAAGGCACUUGCUCAGUCAAUGGAGGCCUUGGGAAGUGCUUUAGCAUUGAUGAGAGAGAGGCCUGGGGUGAGUGAGGGAAUAAACCACACUUCAUAGAAGCUCAAGAGAAAAAGCCCCUCUAUCUACAGCGCCAUGAUGCCAAUGGUGGGAGAGAGUGGUGUAUAGAAAAGGAGGCAGAGUGAGAACCCCUCUCCAAGAUUCUGGAGUCAUUCCAGACAUGCCCUUGUGGUAGCAGGAAAAGGACUGACCCUAAUCCUCUCUUGGGUGACAACCAGGGAAGGCAAGUGUGGGAAGGUUUCUUGUUGUGUAUUUUCUACUUAGGUAGUCUCUUGCCAAGACUAGGAGUCUGCUAGUUCAGGAGGAAUUAUGUCAGGCCAACUAGUGGAGCAGUGUCCCUGAAAGGAGCUUGCUCUGGAAACUGCUGACAUCAUGAGAUACCCCUGGCAUAUAGCACCCAGCCUUCAUACAUUCUAGGGCACAUUGUGGGAAAAGCUGUCAAUGGAGGCCAGGAGAUGCCAUCAACAACAAAGGGGACAAGUUCCACAGAAGAUGGGACCAGGACCUGCCAUUUGGUGGUAAAUGUCUCUUGUUAAAUGUUUGCUAACUAACCCACCCCAUUUGCAUGUGUUAAUUCUUUGACUAGACACUGAUGCUGGAGAGGUGAAGGAGACACUGUUCUUCCUCCUGUAAUACCUGGGCAUGUAUGAAGACAUGGCCUCUGGCCCAGCAAUCCAAAAACAUCCAGCUUAUACUUUUGGUCAAGCCAGAGACUUACUAUGGGUCUGAAUCUUUAGCCAUUACCUACCUCUCUGGACUCCUAAAAUAGUCCUUAGACUAGUCUCAACCAAUAGGCAGCUGUAGACACAAAUGGUGGAUGACUGAUGUCAAUCUCUCUGUGAUAUGAGGGCAGACAGCAACAUGUCCCAGAAAAGGACAACAGAGAUACAGGUGUGUUGUUGUGACCCUCGCCAUGUGUAGGACACCCUCAAGUUCACAAUUCCGCAAAACUCUUAAGCAGGAAGGAGACUUAGGAGCAAGGAGUCAGGCUCAUCAUCCUGUCUCCCUUUGUUUCUGGCCUCACUCUGUCUAGAGUCAGGCUCUCAAUGUUGACUUGAUUGAGCAUUAAAGCAUGAGGGUCCAGAGGAAGGCGUAGGGAGCAGAAAGAGAAAUAAAAGGUGAGACCUGUUCCCGUUGAAUGGCUUCUCCUGACCUUGGCAUUACUUUCCCCUAUUCUUGCUUUUGUCCUUCUUUCAGGGAACACUUCACUCUUCAAUUUAGCAUCACUUCAUUGCCCUGGAGGGCUUUCUCCAGGAUUUACUUCAUGCCCCUAUUUUCUGGCUACACAUUUGUAACUCUCUCCCUCACUUCUUGCAUAGUUAAUCUAGUUCCCUAAUGUUUUCUGGUUUGGUCAAUUAUUUUGUAUCUUGUUUUUUGUUGUUGUUGUUUUCUUUUCAGCAAGGUAGGAUCCCUAGGGGGGAGCCGGUGGGUGGACGAGUAGCCAAGAUAAGCACAAUCAGACUUUGCCAUGGGCAAGGCCCCUCUUCACUCCCACCCUUUCUCCGUGCACUCCCACCGUGGAUGAGAAGUGACCAUGUGCAGGGGUGGGGAGAUAGCUCAGUUAACUAAGUUGCAGUGCCAGCACGAGGGACUUGAGCGCAUCUCCAGUGCCCACAUAAAAAGCUGGAUGCUAAUUUAUAGUCCCAGCAUUGAGGAGCAGAGGAAGAAAGAUCCCUGGGGUUUGCUGGACAGUCAUCGUAGCCAGUGAUGAGUCCCAGACCCUGUCUCAAAAGAGUGAGUGUGGGGAAACAAUUGAGAAAGACCCCCGAUAUCAACUUCUGAUCUCCAUAUGCACAUGUGCACACGUGCACAACCCCCACCCCCAAAGUGACCAUACCUGUGACCUUCCCCAUCUCCUUGGAUCUUUCUCAUUGCUCUUCAGAUCUACUGGUUACUGGAAGACAAUCUAACCUUGUAGGUACCCCUUCGCCCCAUCAUAAGAGAGGCAUCCCCAGGCUUUAUCGUUUAGGAACCCAAAAUGCAUCUUUCCUUAGAGCCAAAAGAUCCCCUCUGACGGUCUCUUCCCUAGAAGCUGAUAGCUGACAGUACCAAAUGCCCCUAACUAGCUUUCAUUUAGAGGCUACUAAGCAACUUCCUAAGGUCCAACCUCACCCUGAGAUCAGUUCCAUUACCUCCAAAGAGGUUCACAUGGCAGGGCCAUGUCUCCGUCAUCCUUGAUUCCGGCCUCAGGAAAUACCUUGCCAUCUCUGUUGAAAUUCAUUUUCUAAAGCACUGCAAAGUGUUAGGGAAAGGACAUGCACUUUUGGUGCAGGACAAGAGGCAGACAGAAGUUGUGGCCUCUGGUCUUGGGCAGUGAGGUUUUGCCGUGUGCCUGAGACUCAGACCCUCUGAGAGUGGGGAGGGUUCUGAGAAGCCUGGGGGAGGGAAACAGUCUGAGGAAGAAGCAGCAUAGAAAGGCCUUUCCUCUUUUCAGAACCCCAGAUCUAAGCGGUAAGAGGCUCUGAGAAGCUGAGCCACUUGGCUGAUGGUUUCUGACAUUCAGAUUUAGCUCCUUCUAGGGAUUAAAUUAAGGCAGUGGGUUACAGCCAGACACUCCAAGCUUCUCAGUUUAAAUGGUAGAGAUCUGGUCUCCAGAAGAGACUGUUGUGAUAGUGUGAAAGAGAAAUGUCUCCCAGGAGCUCCACUAUUUGCAUACUUGGUCCUCAGUUGGUGGCACUGUUUGAGGAGGUUUAGAGGGUGCAGCUUUGCGGGAGGAAGCACGUUGCUGGGCAUAGGCUUUGAGAAGGUAAAGACUCAUGCCCCUUCAGGCUCUCUCUCUCUCUCUCUCUCUCUCUCUCUCUCUCUCUCUCUCUCUCUCUCUCUCUCUCUCUCCCCAUUGAAGAUGUGAAUACUCAGCUUCCUAAGUCUGCCACAUCAUGGCUGCCACCCACUGCCACGUCUGCCUGCCAUGAUGGACUCAGAAGCUGUAAGCUCAGAUAGACGCCUACCCCCCCCCCACACACACACAAGUUGCCUUGUGGUAUUUUAUGACAGCAACAGAACUAAUACACAGUUAUCUGUAUCAUUCAUAUGGUACUGUUUUAUGUAUCUUCACAUCCUGGUUUGGUGAACUGCUUCCUAAGUUCUCUUUGAAAGGGAACUGUUUUGUGUACAGUACCCCAUGGAUGUAGAAAGGAAUUCAGUAGCUUUCUCCACAGCUUCAAAUCUCCGGCCCUUGUGGUCCGGCCCUCAUCAUUGUUCUUGGCAUUUAGGUAGCACUUGCAUCUCCAUCAUUCUGUGUGUGCUCCAAAAGACACUGAUAAUCUCUAGAGUGGCCCUGAUCCCAACCUGGAGAGAUGCUACAUUUGGACACAUUGGAACUAUUUUCUAGUCACUGAUUUUUCUCAAGUCCAUAAAGUCUAAAACCUUUUCAGACCUUUUCUUAGACUUGGGUUAACCAGAGCCUGCUCAGUUUGGGGACGGAACAGGGUAAGGACGUACCUCAAUAAUGGGCUCUCAGGAGGCUCAACAAAAUGUAUGGUUCCUGAGGUCAACAAGCUAUCCUUGCAACUGAAACUCAUCCUCAUCCUAAUCUCCCAAGAGUAAGUUACUCUCCAAAGAGCAAGAGUUUUGAGUUUAAAGCAAAAAGGGAAUCAGUGGGCUGGUAAGGAUGGGUUUGAAGUUGGGAGAGGGAAAACAAGCUGAAGAGCGGGAGACACAAAGAGAAGAGCAUCCCGUGUUCCUUGCCGUGCUAAAAACCGGGCUGAGGGCUCUGCCAGCCUUGUCCCCGUUCCCUUCAGUCUUAACCUUGUCCAGCACUCUCUCCUAAUGUGUGUCACCUCCCCCCGUACACUGACACCCCCUUCUCUGUUGCUCUUGCUUGUUCUCUUGGGUCUCUGAACUUGUGCUCAACACAGAGAUCUAAGAACCAAGUGGAGAGGACACGACUCUCACUGGGAACUUCUAGUUGGGCUGGAAGUGACUCUAACACUCUGUCCUUUCAAACUGGCCUCAUCUCCUUUGUUUCAGGCCUCAUCCAAAUCUCAUCACCACUUAUGAUCAGGGGCCUAUGUUCAUGGUCACUUCCUGACUUCCUUUUAGAGAAGGGCAUUCAGCUGCCACAAGGCUCCUCUCAGAUCCAAUGUCUAGUCUUGUUUUAGGACUCCCCCAACUCCAGCCUAUCGACAGUCUCACACCCAGAUCCAGGGCAACAUCCAUGAUUCCAAGGUCCAACACAAAGGGCAUGUCAGACAUUGUGAGAUAGUCCUCAGAGAGUCAUGUAGUUCUCAAAACAGUUGAACUCUAAAGUCAAACUCUCUUAUCGUAUUUGAAAGUAAAGUUAUUUGUACCACUGAGCAAGAGACUGAAGUCAGAAGCAAACUGUUAUCCACUCCCAGUCCUGGUUGUGGUGGUGGCAUUGUGUCAUCGAAGCAUGUGCUUCAGUUAGACAGCAGAGGGACAGAAAGGAAAUGAGACAGAAGCUACCCAUGAGGCUUGUUAGGGCAGUGAGGCCUGAAGAGACAGGACACAAGACACUCCCAGGCUGGGCUUCAAAGGCAGCUGGGAAACUAAGGCUGUCUUCUGGUGGCCCCAGCCCACUCUGGCAAAUAGUAAAUCUGUAGCCAGAAGACCGGAAGCUCCCCGAAGACACAAGGAAUCAUCUUUGUCCAAGAUUUACUACUACUCUGAAUGCAUUACUCAGUGUGAAAUUGAACUCUCAUCCACUGUCUGUGGCCUAUGCCUCUCGUCAGAAUUCUCGCACUACUCACUCUACAGUCAGCUUAUCUUUUAAGCCACAUCCUCUAUAGGAUGAUGUAGGCCAAGUUCAAGUUCUCAGCUACUAAGCCUUCUGAGUUGUUAGUUGGAUAUUAUUUUCUAGGCUGUCCCCUUUUGGGUAGGAGGUUCCGUAAGAACUUAAUUUUCUCUGCCUGCCCCUUUAAACCAACUGUAGUCAACACAAUAGACACUUCUAGAAGAAACCACUUUCUUGAGGUCUGGGUCUAAGACCAGAGUGGAGGACCCAUACACUAAUUAACAAGCUCUCAGCAUUCAGAUAUCCCCAUGAGAGUCAUAAAAAUCCUCAAGGGUCUUAGGGCUUCUGGACAGUGGUGCUGGGUAUGGCCACCCAUUCAGCAAGAGCCGUCUGGCAGUUCAUUCUUUCAUUUCUAACCUGACUGCACUCAAACUACCUCCAGUGUGCCCCUCUCUCUCUCAUGGAGGCCAACCUUCAUGGGGAUGGGUUGAGUGGCAAGAGGAUCAGAGGAGAUUGAAGCUCCUCAUGGGAUUUGAACCAAGAGCAGGAAUGGCUUGCAGCUGUGGCUGGCAUCAGUCUUGGCCUUCCAGGAACUUUCCAGAAACUUCUGUCCACAAUUUUUAAUGUCUACAAUAUUUUCCCUUCCUCCAGCAAACUCAGAUCUCCAUCUUGUCUCUUCCUAUUCUGAGUAUUUUGUUCUAUAAGAAGGAAAAAAUGCACAUACCAUAGAAGCCACCAUUGUGACAUUUGGUAUAUCCUCAAUUUGAGCAUCAGCCUCCAUCAGGUUUCAGGUUGUCUUCACCAUUACAAAGGGAAAUAUAAAGGAAAAAACUCAACAGACCUUGAAUGGUCCGCCCUUCUUGACCCUCCCCAAUCAACCCACUUCUACUAACUAUUGAACCCCUUCCAGUGCCCAUGGAUUUUCUUAUGCUACACAUCUCACAAAGUUGAGCCAUGCAAUAUGGCCUUUCAUGUCUGGCGUCUGUACCACUUCCACCCAAUUGUAACCAUUGUCAGCAUGCACGCCAUUCUGGCCGGUGAGGAUGCAGGUAGCUCAGACUUUGCCCGUUCAUUCACCAAUGAGCAGCAAAGCUGCUUCUGCCUUUUGACUAACACCAAUACUGCUGGAGCUCUAUUCAUUUGCACAUGCAUUCUCUUCUCAAUGCCCACUUUUAGCUUUGAGUAAGGGGCCUAAUGACAGAAGUCCACAAAUCCUCAAGCCCUGUGAUGCUUCGUAACUAAUCUGAUGCACUUGCUAGCCCUUUGUCACCUUUGCUGCCAUUUUGCAUUUAUCCUGCAGAAUACAGUUUUCACACACAGACCCCCAGAAGCACCGUCAUUAUCUGGUUUUGUUAUAGCUGUUUUCACCAGUGUGACGGGAUAACCCCCUGCCGUUUCUACUUGCCAUUUCCACAAGAACUAAAGACUGGGGACACAUUUUCACAUGGUUUUUGGUCCUAGAUAGCUAGCAUGUCUUAUUUGAGAAGUGUGAGGUUUCUCCUGUUGAAUUGUAGAAGGAUUUUUUUUUAGGCCUUCUUGGAAACAGGAUCAUCAGACAUGAGAAAAUAGAUUUCAGCUCUAGACAUUGUCUCUUCAGGAUGUCCAGAGGAGUACAAAUUAAAGUUUGAUGUUACUAUAUUGUUCUCAUCAUUUGGGCUUUGAUGUCAUAUCUAAAAAACUACAGCCAACUCCAAGCUUAUAAAGAUUUCCAGGAGGGUUUUAACCCUUAUAUACACAGCAGUGAUGCACCCUGAGUUUUGUAUGUAAUGUACUUUAAUAGUCCAGUACCUUUUUCUCCCAUCUGACUGUCCAGCUGGGUGACCCCAAAAACAUUUGUGAAAAAGACUAAUUACUUGUAACAUCCUUACUGAACAUCAACCAACUUCACAAGCACAUUAUUCUUUCAAGACUUCUCUUCCUUGAGCUUCAUGUUCAUCCAGUGAGAGAAACACGCUAUUGGAUUAGACUAGUGUCACAAGACAUUUUGGAAGAAGAGUUUAUGAUCAUUUCUCAAAAUUUCUAGAUUUCUUGAGACAGCAAUUUGGAAAGACCUCAGAUAUUUUCCUCAGUGCUAAUCCUAUAAGCACCCACAGAAUUCAAGAGAAAAAACCCUGGGACACAGAUCUCUGGUUCCAAUAUGUCAGACUCAGAGAUCCAGUGUGGGUCUUUAGCCUUGGCAGUCAGCGAAUUUAUCAACAGGUCCAAUUAUCAUAUCCUGAGAAUCGUAUCCUCCUGAGAGGACAAGCCAGGGGCAAUCCUAAUUCUGCACUGAAGCAUAGUAACACUAAGGGGUAGCUGAGUAUCAUCACAGCAGGAUGCCCCUUUCCCACUUUAACUGAACCACAGGAGCCCUUUGCUGGUGCUAGGACACUGGACUACUGACUGGCCCAGGGAAGGCGUCAGUAAGCACAGUGAAGACCUGGCUUUGCCCAAUCCCUUGGCAAUAGAUGAACAAAGGCUCAGGCCUCCAAAAGAGGGACAGGGAAAUUCAGUGAGCCUAGUUCUACCUAAGAGGAUUAGGGGAGCUGAGAUGGAAGGCUGAACCCCUGCACCUCCAGAGCUCACUCACCAUGGGGAGUCAGUCCUGAGAGAGGGGCUUCUGAAACAGAAACAUCCUCUCAGAUGAUUGACAAUGGAGAUGCAGAAGGAGCAAUGGCUCUGAAACCUCAACAAGCUUGAGAGAGAAGGGCUUCGAAAGCCCCCUAUUCACAGACUGGCUUCCCGUCAGACUGUCAGCAGUAGAUGAGAUAAGCAGUGCAGGAUUUGCUUUGGAGGGAGGGAGUGCUCCCAAAGGCAGCCAAGUCCAAGGCCUGCUCCAGUCAGAUCAUGGCAAAGGUUAGGGUAGGGCAAGGAGGAGUGGUUGUCAGUUUCCAAACUGACACCAUGAUUUUUCCCCAGAUAUAGGUCUCAGUGGGAACAUUCCUGAGCUUUUCCUACAGCAGAGCUACUCAGUAGCAUGAACAUUUGAGACCUGGGAAUGGGCAGAGGACUCGAGUGCCAGGGCAACUCUGUAGCUUGACUAGAGGAAGGUUUUGGGGACCAGAGUAGCCAGCACUCUCCUGAGCAUCCAGCUCAGAAAAGAGUUCUUCCACAGGCCUGAGAUUGCUCACCAGUUUGUGCACUGUGGCCCUUCUAGGAUGCUAGGAAGCAAGCUCAGACCACCCUAGUACCUACCUACUCGGUGUGUCAACAAUGGGUUUGCUUUCUCCCUGUGUCUAGACCUUAUUGUCAAGGAGAUAUGGUCUAUCUGUGUGACUAGUAUCCCGUGGAAGCCCUGGGCCCAGGGUCUACAGUGAACUCCCUAUUGAAAGCUCUCUCAACAGAUAUUACUGUAACUCUGUGCAGGGGUCCUUCCUGCACUGUGGAGCCUCCCCUGAGCCAAGUUGGCCUUUGGUUGAUUUUGCUCUGUACCCUCUGAGAGAAAUCGCAGUUGUGACUGCAACUUCAUGCUGAGCCCUGAGAAUACUGCUAGUGACUCGUGAGUUAUGGUGGCCUUGGGGAAGGUCCAGCACAGUACCCAGGUCCCCUUCUCAUUCUAUCUCUUUUUAUAUCUUAGAGCACCAUGGUGGGGAGAGUCAGGCCAAGGAAGAGGAAAAACAUGUUCUAUCCAUAUGACCUAUUCCUUUCCAUUUCCCAUUCAUUCAGACACCAAACUACUUAUUCCUUAUGCCUCUCUCAACACCCUCAGAGGGUCUUUGCAGAGCAGCUCACUGACUCCAACAGAGCUGCCCAAGCGUACUGCUGGCUGUGGAGACCAUGCCAUGGUAGACAGCAGCUCCCUUGCUGCCUGCUUUGGACAGUGUCAGCCUUGACUUCCCAACCUUUUCUGGCUUCUGUUACUUCAUCAUCACUCUUAUAAAUGUGCUUCCUUCCUCCCUUUCCCUCUGCUGGUGACCAGACUCCUCUGUUUGCUCUGGGGUUGGUUGGGACUGAACGUGUUUCUACAUUUAUCCUUGGCAUACCUGCAGAUGUCAAUAUUGUUUUCUUCCUCAACUAACUUCUCUCCAAGAAGUUUCUGCCAGGAUGGCUGAGGGAAAGGACCCAUCUGAUGUCAGGAGUAGGGAUAUAACUUCCUUCUUUGGCCCUGCUUGGCCCAGAUGUGUGAGGAAUCACUCACUAUCUGAGCUGUCCUCAUGCCUGUCAACAUUCACGCCUCAGCCUGCCACCUGCAUCUUUCUCAGACCCUGUCACUAUUGACAUUACAUCAGCCUCCUCCUGUCUCUGUCCUUCUGCAAUCUCCACACAGAGGUGCAGUCAUCCCCCCCCCCACUGAGUGGGCAUCACGAGUAGGUGACCCCAAUGUAGGCCUCCCCCACUGAGUGGGCAUCAUGAUUACAGACUGGAAAACUCAAAGGGACAAAUUGGAACAAAUUAUUAGCCAGCCUCUUUGUCCUGGUGACUGAGACACAGCCAGAGGGAGAAAAACAAAGCCAUAUUGACCUUGUUCCUGGUCCUUCCUCCUGGAGUGACAGUUUCUAGCACCCAGUAGGCCUAGCCACCAGCAAUCAGUCUACUGUUGUCUGCCACACCAUCCAGAAUGGCCCUCCCAUCCUUCCAGGAUGGGUUCCAGAGACUUCAUUCACAUUCUCUGGAACUUCUUUCUUCAAGUUCAAGGGUUAAAAAAAAAAAAAGUUCAUCUGUUUUUACAAAUCAUAGAUAAAAGUAUAUUAACCACUGAAGAAAAAUGAGAAUAAAAACCAAUUAGGGAGUAGAUUUGCAAAGUUGAUGAGAAUGACUUUUCGUCAUAAUGAAGCACUGCUUUAUCAGCCUGGGGUACUAGACCCUCACUGCACUGCUCUUCCAUGAGUUUCUACUACUCAGGUUGAAGAACGCCAGGCAGGUCUUAUCUCAUGUAAGUUUUAAGGUCAUAACAUUUGCUGUUUUUCCACUCAGGAAAACCUUGUAUACUGCUAGAUUUUUUUUCCUUGAGGGUAGACAGUGGAAACUUCCUGGGGAGAUCACAACUUCACCUCCAGUAUUUCAACCAGGAACAAAGACAAUAAGAGGGUAUGGCCAGGAAAGAAAUUCCUGUGAAUGUUAAGUGUGAGAGGAAUGGGAGGAGCAGGGUGUGUGAAGCCAGGAGUCAGUGCAGGAGUCAAGUCUGAUCCUCUUCCUCUCGGUAGCAUUCGCAAUAGUCCCUGUGAUCUGGGCAGAGCAAGGCCGUCAUCGGAUUUGCCACCUCAUGCAUCCCAUCCUUUGGAACAGCAGAAGCAUCUGAAGGGACAUCGAGGUACAAGCAGGGUACCAUGACAAAACCCAGGUAACUUUCUACCGUCUAUCCCGAGUAAAAUGAAUGAUUUCAGUAAAUUUCAGUGAAUUUGAGGAGAUGCUGGGGCCCAAGAGACAAGACAAGCCUGGAGUGUCUGGUAUGCCUAUGGACCUCCAAAUCUUCUCAAGGUUUCCAAAGCUGCCGAGUCAGGAAGCCUCAAGUCCUGGAUUACUCUGGGGUCUCUAGAAAUUUCAGGUCGAGGGUGGAAGCUGGGUGGGUGUGAACAGUUCAUCGAAGUGCCUUUUGCAGGGCUCCGGGGAGGAGCACUUCAUUAAAUGAAGGGUACUAGAUUGGGCAGGUCUUGAAAUGCUUUCAUUAGACACACCCAUUCAUUCAUUCAUUCAUACAUUCAUUCAUUCAUCCAACAUUUAAAAGAAUCUACUAUCCUGUGGGCAUUUGUGCUACAUGACUCAAGACACUUGCCACCAACCCUGAAGGGCUCCCAGGCCCCCACUCUUGUAGCUACCACCGGUGGCCGCCUGUCCUGUGUCGUCCUCACUAGACCUCUCUUGCAUGACAUGGCUUUAAGCAUGCAUAUCUCAUCCUCUCAUUUCUCACUGUAGACUCCCCUAAAGCCUCCCCUGGAGUUCCCGUAGUAGAUUCAAUCUGUAUCACCAAGGACACACCCCCCAACCCCAGAUCCUCUACCAAUUCUUUGGACAUAUUCUGAGGGAAAGGUAGAGGCUUUUCCAAGAACAAGAGUCAACACAGAGGCACUGAGUGAGAAAAAUCAGUCUACCCAGAGCCUUCUCCUUGACCUCAAAAGGAGACUUUCCAAUGUCUUCUUUGGAAGAAACAGCACAAGCCACAGCUGACAAACUGUAUUGUGUCUCAUUACAAAUGCCAGUAGUGGUCUUGCAGUCCCUCUCACCUUCAAAAGUCUUCCCCAGCAAGCAGGAACCCUCUGCCACACAAACGAAACUCUAGUCAUUCAGGGCUCUCUUCAAGGGGAGGGUGAAGGGAUUCCCUACUAACGUGGGAAUACGUAGUGGGAAUCCGAGGACAACUUCAAGCUCAGACUUUUUCAUACCUUUGAUAUGAGCCAUGCGAACCCCACAGAAGAAGCAGGAGGAAAAAGCAAGAUUUUAACAUUUGGAAAGAAGAGGGCCCAGGUUUUAGUGACCACCCACAAGCAAGAGGGGACGGGGGCAGCUAAUGGGUCAUGAAAACACCCCAAAUAGACUUCCCUAUUGCAUAGCUGGCCUUUAGAACAGCCUUGGAAAGAAGGUCCAAGUUAGUCCUACAGGUGACACCAACAACUCUGGUGCAGUAUAACUCAGUGAUGCAAGAGUACAGCAGAGCUGGCGAGCUUUCACGGAGCAGGAGGCUUCCGGCACAGACACCUCCCAGAUGGCUCACACUUGUCUUUAGACCCUUUGUUCCAAGUCAUCUUCUCUCCAGGGAGUAAGAGAAGCUGUCAUGGGGUCUUUGAAAGUAUAUGACAUCACAAUGGGUCCCGGGAUUGUGGCUGAGAGACUGGAUUAAGAAAUGAUGUCAUCAACAUUGAUAACCAGGAAUCAGCUAACACCUUGCAGUCUUCAUCUACGGAGCUCCUCCUUUUACCUGUCCAACAUCUCUAGGGCCUCUCUUGGCAUUGCUAAUUCAUUUUACAGUUGAGGAAAAUGGGACACAGACAUUUUGUUUGUUUUAAGACUCUCUCACCCAGUGCCACCCAGCUGCUCCUGAGCAAAACGUUUUCAGUUACUUUUCUAAAGCUGCCUCUCCAGUCAGAUCCUUUGGAACAUGGCCUAGAGCCUACUUCAAUUUCCAAUAAAGAAAGGGAAGGAAGGACUGCUGUGGCCAGAAAGCCAACCCCCAAGUUGGAAGAGGAUACACGGGUCAGUUAAGUCAGAAGUUUCCUAGACCUGGCAUGUUGGUGGCCUGUUGUGACAUGUGACACUCUCUACUUUCUGCCUCUCAUUCCUCAUCACAUUCUAGACUGUGGCUUUUUUAUCCCUUUGUCCAGGAGGUGCACAGUCUCUAGAAGCCCCAGCCCAUUUGAUGGCUUUGCUGCUUUCCCUAUCCCAAUACUGCACCCUUCAUUCCCAUGCCUGGCACUGUGCUUAUAUUCUCUCCUCUCCUCUCCUCUACUGAAUGCUAACCUUUGGGACACCUUUUCCUCUCUCAACUUACCAACUUUCCUGUAUAUAUUGUUGAAUAUAUGUGUCUAUAUUUUUGCUUCUCCCCUGCACCCUCCAAUGCUGGAUAUCAAGCCCAAUGUUUUAGGUUGCCAUUAAGCUUCAUUCCCUGGUCUUCCCCCACUCCCUUCCUUUCUAGUUUCCAAGAGAUAAAAUGUUCACUUUAUCAGAAUGUAUUAUGUUUGUAGAAUGGGUUAAACGCUUUUACAUCUGCCUCAAGCUUUAGUCACUAAAUAUCAUACCACCUCUAUAAGAAAUCUGGGUUUCCCCUGAAAAGUGCUGUGCCCUGUCCUCCACAAACACCAUUCCCAGUGAUAGGAAAACUUGACCACAACCACCCCCACACACACAAAAGCCACUUUCUGAUUUCUGCUCAUUGAGCCCUACACAGCUUCCUUACAUGACUCCACCCCAUAGUCCUAGAGUAAAAAAACCUCCGUGUGUAUUGUGUUGCCUAUUGUCUCUUCCACACGUCCUUCCUGUCAACGGAACUCAUCCUCAAGACUUGUUUCCCUACUGAUGGCUCCCACCCUUCAUCAUUCUUUGGAAUAUGGACCCUUCUCUCCUUCACUUGGAGGAUCUGUGGGCUUCAUUAGAUAUAAAUCCUUAGACAUUGUUUUCCCUGGGACUUCCAGGCUUUAUGAAGUUGGGUAGGGACUCUUCCAAGGACCAUUCUGGUGGCUCCAAUUAAGGCAAGAGACCUGGAUAAAGCCAAUCUUAUGUGAACUGCUUCCCCUCUCAACCCCAUAACUUCUCAGCUUGCAAAUUAUCCCGUGUAUAUGUUGCUGACUAUGCGUAUCUCUAUCUUUUGCUUCUUCCCUGUUCCUUCCAAAGCUCUUUGAAUGUAAAAACAGUUUUGGGUAAUACAGGUAGCCGAUAUGCUGUCUUGUGUAUGUAAGUUGUGGAUAUAGUAUCUUCAUCCUACCCUAAGAUCCCCAUCUUCUUGUAUAUGUGCAUACAAGCAUAUUUGCUCUUGUUCAUUUAUUUUGUUUCAGAAGCAUUUUUAUUUAAACUAUAGCUCUUCUCAAAGUUGACCUAUUCCCAAGUUCUUUUGAAAGGAAAACCCAGCUGUUUGCAAUGUCAGGAAAUCAAUACAUGGUUUUCUACGUCUUUCAUCCCGCCUUCUGUUUACCAUUUAUUUGAUAACUAUACCCUUAAAGUUUGACUUUCCUUCUCCUCAGUGUGUUCUCGUUCCUUUACAAGUCAUGUAUUUUUCUAUCACCAUAAUGCUCUCCAGUUCCUGACACUUGCAAUAGAAACGAUUGAAUACAUGUUUUACCAGGAAAAAAAACCUGAAAUAGUCUCCGGUCCCACUAGUUAUCACUUCUUUUCACCCAUCAAUCGUCACAUUUGUCACAGGGAAUGCAAGUACUCGGCUUCUCCGCACACCCGGAGGUGCCCCUCUCAGACUUAACACACCUGUCAACAGACCUUUUAGAGGACACGAGGGAACAGAUUGGACUUGGAGAGGGUAAAGAAGCUGUCCCUGUCCCCAAAAGUGCUAGGGAGAAGUAAGCCCCAAAGAUGAAGUGGGGUGACAUUUGACUGUAAGACUCCCAGGAAAGGGAAUCACCUUUGCAGCAGGUAAUGAGCUCUGUACUGCCAAAGUCUGUUAGGGUCUGUGUUUGUGAGAGUGAGGGGAGGGCCACAGUAGAAAGGUACCCAUUGGGGUUACAACCAGGGAAAGAAAAGAGGGCAGGGUAUUUAGAAGUGGUCUUGGAGGUAUGUGAUCCUGUUGGGGAGGAAGAACUUUGGCCAAAGGUCCCUGACAAAACAGUCUUCCCAAGUAGGGCCUUAUUGCUGUGGAAGAGAUGAGAUUUGUUAAGUGCCCUGGAGUCCUAGGACUGGAAGGUGUAGGGGCAUUCAGCUCAGCCCUGGGGUUCAGAAGCUACAGUUACUCUUAGAGAGGGGAGGCAGGAAUGAGGACUUGCUCUCCUUCCUGCUGUGAGGGUAAUCCUCACAGGGUUCUUGUUACAUUGUGGGUGCAAACCUAUAGGAGGCUCUCUGCCUUUCCAGAAUUUACCCAAGGUUGCAUACACACUUAACAGGUGGGGAUAAUAGAAAAGCUGAUCCCUUCUGAUUUCAAAGUCUCCAGACAUUUCCAAACAUUUCGCACACUUUAGUGAGCUGGGACUCUAGGCCUCAUAUUUACAAAUAAAAUGGAGGAAGCAGCCUAAAGACCAGACAUAGUCAGGGGAUAGACUGUAGAUGAGCCCUCAGUGACAAAGCCUAUCUGCUCCCAACUCAUUUCAUACUGUUUUGUUUACAAGCACAAGUGAGCAAGAUGGACUGGCUGAACCCUCUGCUGGAGACUUCUAAGGAAUCCUUCAGGUUUCUCUGCCUCCCAAACCAUGGUCAGAAGCACUGCUAGGCCUCUCCACACCAUUGUCACGCUUGGCCAUCUUGGCUAGCCUACUUUUCUUUUUUUCUUUUCCUCUUUUUUCUUUUUUGCUGAAAUCACAAUGUAGGAGAUGUUGGAAGGCAGAGAGAGAGAGAGUUCUUUGAGAUCAUCAAAGAGUUAUCGUCUUGCCGGAUCCCACAGUUUCUCACUUGCGGUGGAAGCCAUCUUUAACGCACUUCCACGGUGGGAAUAGAAAUUAUAAAAAGGAAAAUGAAAAACAUUCUUUAUCCAAUUUGCGCUGUCUGACGAUCAAUUCCUCUCUGGACUAGUUAAGAGUAACAGGUGAGAAAUGAUGUCAGGAGUUUGGUGACUGAAGAAACCAACUGUGCUAUUAUUGUAAGGUAAGCCACAAAGAGAAUGUUUACUAAGAUGGUAGGCCGUGAAAGUGUCCAGGUAAAAACCCACUUAGAAAGAUGUGCGUAUUAAAUGUAUACAUUCUGACAGGGGUGGGGGUGGGGGUGGGGAGGGAUUCAGUCUUAAGGAGCUGGUCACUGGGAGUUUGCCUGUGCUUCAGUAAGGAUGGGCAACACAAAUUGGAGUUGUUUUUCUUUUUUAGGGGGUGGUCACAAGGUGGGGAGGCACACCUGGGAGGACUGGGAAGUGAGCAUGACCGGGUGCGCAAUGUAAAAUUCACCAACAAUGUAAACGUUAAAAAAGGAAAUAGUGUGACACAAAACUCUACAAACAGCAGCAGUUAUAGCUCUGUCCACUUCACAAACGGUCUUUGGGCUUAAAAGAAUGACCGGUGUCAAAAGAUCUGUAGUAAAUGAGACUUGGAGAGUGCUGGCGACAGAACAUGAUAGAACAUAGGAAAGAUGAAGGAGGACCCAGAAACAAAGUGGCAAGAGGACAAACAGAUGCCCCGGCAGGGCUUUCUGAACUACGAGAGGGCAGGCUGGUAAGAGGGCCCCCACAAUAGGACCCAGGAAUGACACCAUGGUGAGACUUGGCACCCACCCCCCUUCCCCAAAACCCCAAUCCAGAGGCAGGCUUCUCAGAUGGCACAGCUCCAUCAAAGACUAUGAAGCUAUAAGGAAGGGACUAGCCUCACACCCCGGGGAAAUGUAUUUAAGCUCAGGACCCGAUCUUAAAACCCUGCACGAGCAUGCAGCAGGCCACAUGGAGUACAGGGACACUACCACCAACUUGCACUGAGCUUGAAGACCAACUAACUGCACUGAUGAACAGACGACGCAAGAGCUCGAGCUCAAGUGCGCAUGCUUGGAGCCUUCUGGGCUGCCCAACCAUUGGCUCCACCCUUGGCAGGAGGCACCAGAAGUCCCAGCCAAUCCCAAACACGGAACGGAAAACCUCCCUUAGUGGCAGUUGGAAGGCGUUGGCUAUUCCAGCCCAGUGGCCUUUAGUUAGGCUGGUCCCACGAAGAACGCAAUAGCUAGGCUCGACAAAGAUCUUCAUGGUAGUGGGGGUGGGGUGCAGUGGGGUAGGGUAAGUCCCAUCUUACCCAAAACCUUAAACUGCUGCCAAGAUUGAACUGUUUGUUGCACAGCUAUAUAGUCUUGUGGUGACAGUGGCUUUAGAGUGAGUUUAGGUAGGAGCUGUGCAAACUCUGUUAAAUAAUCCCACGGACUCAUCUGGUGGCCUUUUGGAGCAAUUUUUGUAAAAAAAUUUCAAACCUGUCACAGGAAAGGGAUAUUAAAUGGGGACAUAUAGUCAUCGGUCAGCACUUGGCUUGAGUUGACAACUCCAUAGAUACCAUCUCUGGAGCACGAGGCUGGAGAUUUUAGCCAGGUUUUUCUGACAAGAGAGCUGUCAUGCCUUCUGCCCCUUGAGUUAUCUCACAUUGUUGCCCAGAGUCAACAAAGUAACGCUCUCCAAGGGUCUAUAGCUUUACCCUACACUGCCCAGCUCCCGUUCUUAGUUCACAGGGUUCUGCCAAGCCCUAGGGAGGAACCCAGAGGUUUCUCCAUAACCCAUUUCCCUUCUCCUUUUUCUAUCCAAUCCCUCUCCUUGUGUAGGAGAGGUAUCCUUUCUAGACAGGAAGAAAGAGGAAAAUUCUCCAAGUGACUCUUAAGUCACUUUGACAUCAUUAAAGAAGUCAUUGUAACAAGACUAACAUGAGGUUCAAGGGUAAACUAAAGAACUACAGAACUUAGGUUGCUGGGGAAAACUUCCUUUUGUUCUCUAGGGCUGGUACAGAGCCUGCACAAAGUUUUGAAGUGUGAGACAGUCAUGGGAGCCUUAAGUUCAUACGCUGGUAUGAUUUUAGACUAGACUGUGGGUGUGGAAAUACCAGACUCUAUAGACACUGGAUAGAAAGGAGGAAAGGAGCUUUCCUUCCCAAAGCUUCAAACUGGGGAAAUGAGGUUCUCAGUAAAAGGGUGUUUAAAAAAAGGGCUAUCUUUAUCCUGUGGUUGGAUCAUUAUUAAAUCUCAUUUUAAGAUAGCUUAGACCUGUAGACGAAUAGCUACAUGUGUGGAGUAUUGAUUAGAGAAGACUAGCUGUGUUAAGUACAUUGUUGUAUGCCCUGACCUGAAGUGACAGGGGCGGAAGUGGGGCUGCCCUUUCCCAUUCUGCAGAAUCACAGUCUUGUCACUCAAAGUGAUCCCAGACAAGAAACAAUACUACAGAGAUGACGAAGCACCAAGUUAGGUGUACAUCUCAGAGCUCUCUAAGAAUCUACAACAAUCUUGUGAGAAAUUAAUCUCCCUCGGGUAUUGUAGUCUAGGAUGCAGAGUUGAGCAGCAGGAGUUGGGUGUAGCUGACUCAAAAAGUUCUUUGUUUGGUCCGUAGUCCCUGUGAAUCUCAUCCCUCUGGCUUGCCUGGGUCCUCUCUUUAAUGUCUGACCACUAACUACAUUUCUGUCAUCCGUACAAAAUUAUAAUGCCUUCUCUCAUCUUCCGCCCAGUGUGGAACUUUGGUCUUCUGCUGAUAGAGUGCCACACCCAUGUGGGAACCUGGGUUCACGUUCUGCUAUCGUACAGGCUACGUCCUCUCUAGCUGAGAACACGGAUGGGAAGCAGUAAGCCUCUGAGCCCAGAUGAGCUCUCAGAAGGCUCUCCUAGCAGUAGCCAGCUCUGUCGGAGGUCAUGCUAUGAUCAGAAAGUGGGGUGGAAAACACAGUGUGGCUGUGGCGUGAACCCCAAGUUAUUUAUUUUUCGUGUUAUGUGUUGUCUCAUGGCCCUUGCUGUCACUCAAAGGACACAGGGCUGACCUCUUUGGAGCAACAGGACAGACAAGUCAAGUCACUGACUGCUGCCCAUCCUGUGACACUACAAAGACCCUUGAAAGGGUCAGUUUCUACGUUGAUGGUAAUUGGAAGAGCUUCUGGGUAACAGGAGGGCAUGAGUCACUUGUGGAGCUGUAGGGUCCUGCCUCUGUGAGCGGCUGGAUGAUGUUCGUCCUAGCUGUUGCUUUUUACAUAAACCUAAAUUGGCCUGAUCCUAGCCAUAAAGAAAAAGUCUUUUUUAGAAAAUAUGGGGGGAAAAAGAUUAUCAAAGCAGAAACCCAGAUAAGAAAUAUAGGCAGGGAAUUUAUUUAUUUUUUUGGUUCUUUUUUUUCGGAGCUGGGGACCGAACCCAGGGCCUUGCGCUUCCUAGGCAAGCGCUCUGCCACUGAGCCAAAUCCCCAACCCCUAGGCAGGGAAUUUAAAAUGGCAGAGGAGUUAGGCUCCAAAAACAGAGGUGAUGGAGGUGUCAGCCAAAAAUUGAGACAAUGUUUCAGAAAAAAUUCUGAAAGGGAAAGGGAGAGUCAGAACGAAGAAAGAUGAGAGCUUUCCCUCUCCCUCUGCUUUCUUCUGGUCCUCCUCCUCCCCUGAACCCUUGCCAAGUGCUAGGUAGGUGCAGAGAUUAGGACAGAGAGAGCAUUACACAGUGGGGUGAAAAGCGUGUCUCCCCCAGCUGCAUUCCCAGGAUAUAGGGAAGGUCAAGGAAGAGAGCGGAGGCCCCAGAAAUGAAGGAGAUGCUGUCUCAGCAGCUCUUGGGCUGAGGUCAGAAAGCAGCCAGCUGGUGUUGGCCCAGGACUCUACCACCUUUGUUGUUUCUCUUUGGGCAUCAGCUGGGGUUGCUACAAGCACAGAACGGGCAACUGGAGUGAGUCUGGCGGGAGGAGCCCUGUGUCGUGGGUACGGUGCCCAUGGACAUUGGCAGGGACAACUGUAACUCCUUUCUUUUUUCUCCAGGUGCCCCACCCCCCGUACCCCCAUGGGUUGUCUAGUAGCAGCUCACCCUGGCUUCUAUCACGGCCAUCAACAUAAAUGGAAGAGGGAGGGAAAAGUGUAAACACUGGAGGAUGUGUAAAACACUGGAGGAUGGGGUCAGGGCGGGGGCAUGAUGUAUCCUCAAAUUUUCAAAACGAGAAAAAAAAAAGGCAAAGAAUUUGACAUCCAAUUUAUGGGUCUCUGCUGGCUGGAAAGCCUGAGUUCCAGAAAACAAAGACUACUCUUGUAGGAGGUGAUAUCAAUGUUGACGAGGGUCCUUACUGAAGCUAAGGUCAGGGUAGACAAAAGCUGCUAGGUUUCCACCCCUAGUGCCUUUACAAGGGGCGGGGUAGUACACAUGUGCUAUUUUAUGAGCUCUGAAGACUUAUAGACAGAGCAUUUCCAGGACAUGGAUCCUCUGAGGCAGCCAAAAAUUAUCCAUCCAGUUUAGGACUCCAAAGCAGGUGCUGGGAAAUUAGCUAGGAGCUUUCAGAGUUAGGGAGAGCAAACCUGGUGGUGGUUUACUCAGUCUGGGAAGCUUUCACUAUGGUCAUAAUACACAGGUUUCCUGGCCAGAGCUCAAAAUAAAUAAGGGCAGGCAGGAGUGGUAUCAUUUCCGUUUUACACAAGGUUUUGAUGAAGGUUUGAUGUUCAUGGUUCUGUAAUGAGGGAUGGUGUUCUAGGGAGGCAGUUGCUAAAGCAUAGCAUCACCAUGUUUUUCUCGUUGGCCAUCGGCCAUUGGGACUUCAUAUUUCUAGUGUUCCUGCACAGCAGCUCGUUGCCGAUGACACAACCCAGAGGCUCUAGCUUAGUGAUAAUAGUAUCAAGCCGUAUACCUACCCUAUCUUUCUUUUGAGCAGACGUCACAAGAGUUGGGUACCAGCAAGGAUGGCCUGGUAAACAGCUCGCUUGGGGUUUCCCACCUUGACUGUUCUCUGACCCGUUGUGUUUAUGGGCAUUUUGCAAAUCUCCCAGCAUCUGCAUCCUUUCUAAAGUUGGGAAGUUUUCUUUUUAAGGCCUACUAUUUUCUCCUACGUGAAAGCUCUCCCCGCCCCCUCAGGUGUUUGCCUCUGUUACCAACAGCUGUCCUCUGUGAAGCGACUGAGUAGCUCACAGCUAUGGUGAAGAGAGAACCUUGAACCCCAGAACCAACCUGUGUGCCUUGCUGCUGCUGCUGCUGCUGCUGCUGCUACUGGCAGGCUUGGAUUCUGAAAGCGUAUGCUUAGACGCUCGCAAUCCACAUUCCGCCCUGGGACAGACUCUUCAGAGCAUGUGGUCCUUCAGAGAGAGAACCUGGUCACAGGACAGAGCACCACGACUCAUCCGUCUGUGUAGAUGAUGUGGUCUAGCUUCUCUGGGAAGCAGCCAUGCAGAUGCCUGAACUCAAGUCCCAUUGCAGAAGAUGAGCUACCACCACCAACCAGAGAUCCAGACAAGGGCCUCAGGACGUGAUACCUGGAAGUUUUUCUGGCAUGGGCAGGAGUGUGGGCGAGGGCAGGUAUCAUUAUGCAAAACAGCAUGGGAUUGAUGGAUUCUGUGAUGAGAUGGCCCUUGGAAACGAGAGAGGUUCCUGCUUGUAGAACACUGGUACCAUCAUCUGGCCAGUCUCGAAGUGCUUGUACACUACACCUUCUUAAGGUCUCUGCCAACUCGCAAUGUAUUUCAACGCGAUAUUAAAACAUGUGUGCCCUCGAUGACAUAUGAACUGAAGAAAAUGUAUAUAAGACAUUUUCCAAAUAUAAAUGAAGCAUUUGGUUCUAUACAUAAUUGAUAAAGGUCUCUUCAUACUAUUUGGGUUCAAAAAUUUAAGCCUUUAACUCAAAGCAGUGAGAACUAGUCUAUUAAUCCAUGGAGGCGUAAUUGCUGGCUGUGCCAGAUCCCUUCGUUUUAACUGUGAAAGAUCAUGCAAACCUUUGUCUCCAGUCCAUUGGGUUGUGUGGUGCCUUACUGUUCUAUUGUGAUGGGACACCAUGACCAAGGCGACUUGGAAAAGGAAACAUUUAAGUGGGCCUUGAUUACUGUU